GACCGAUUAGCUCAGCUGGUAGAGCGCUACAUUGACAUUGUAGAGGCCACAAGUUCAAGUCUUGUAUCGGUCA
rnacentral:tRNA from 2 species